AGUUCAUGCAGCAUCCCUGCCUGCGUGUGCUCAGCCUCAGACCUUCUCUGAGCCAUCGUUGGGAACUACAACCAGCCACCUCGGAGACAAUUUUCAUGGAGAUAUGCAGAGAAAAACAACCAUUUCUGCAGCAUUUUCUUCUUCUCUGUCAGCCUGCCAACAGUGAGUUGGGAACUGCGUUCUCAGGCAAAGGUACGGGAGGGCAUAUGUGGUAUAAGUGGGUUUUGAGAUGCUCAGCUGGCAACCUCUUUGUGGAAAUAUUACAAUUCCUUCUCAGUAAGGCUUCUCUUGUAUUCCACCUUUCAAAGAAACCCAAUUAACCCGUUCCCCUUUGUGCUUAGUACUUCUAACAUCAAUGAAAAUGAGCAUCACCUGGAAGACCUUUUUAUAGGCUCAAUAAAUGCCAUGAAAACUGCAAAGAUAUUUCCAAGAAAUCCCAGCUGUGGCCAUCAGGCCAUAAAUCCAGGAGACGUUUCCCACGUUAUAAUUUCUCCUUCAGUAUCCUCUGUUCAUGGGGGUACUGACGAAGCAUUAAGCCUCCAGACUGAAUUCAGACUGAUUCACCCCCUCCAAAAAGGACCCCUCCUUUCAAUUAAUCCGAAAACACUCAUACAGAAACACCCAUCGCUGUGAUUAAUUGUCACAUAUGUGGGAGCAUCCUGUUCAGGGAAAAUGCAGGCUCAAUUCUACAUGGCUUAUUUACGAGCCAGCUGCUCCAGCCAUUAAAGUAUCUGCCCUGAAUAUCUGCUUCCACGCCACGGUUUGAACAAGCAGAUUAGUCUCUGAAUCACAAGCCCCCAUGUUUUCCAGCUCAGCACAGCAAAAUGAAGACUCCAAUAAAUAGCACUCUUAAGGGCACUCCUGCUGGAACGAGCCUUCUCUAGCAAUGUUUCAACUCCGGAAAGAGCCUGUUUUGAGCCCCAAAGAAAUCCACCGGAAAUAACCUUGGAAUUCUUAUGUUUAUAUCUGCGUAGCUGUGGAAACACUGUGGGAGAGAGUUGUUUUUGUUUUGCCAGGCAAAUAGAAAAUCCAUGAUUUUCUUCGAUAUUCCAAGGCCUCCCUCCCCUCCUGCUCCAAGAAAAGGGCUCUUGUCCAAGCUGUAUUUUUCUUAUGAACGCCUCCCCUGCCCCAGCAUAGAGCAAUCCAGUGUCGAGCACAUUCCUUGGCAUCCUCACCCCUAAUUGCUCUCAGGCU
ensembl:lncRNA